AGGGACCACCCUCCAAGGCUAAAUACUACCUAGUGACCGAUAGCGUAUAGUACCGUGAGGGAAAGGUGAAAAGAACCCCGGGAGGGGAGUGAAAUAGAACCUGAAACCCUGCACUUACAAGCUGUGGAAGCACAUUUCUUGUGUGACCGCGUACUUUUUGUAGAACGGGCCAACGAGUUACGUUAAGUAGCAAGGUUAAGCACUUAAGGUGCGGAGCCGUAGCGAAAGCGAGUUUUAACUGAGCGUUCAGUUACUUGACGUAGACCCGAAACCGGGCGACCUACCCAUGAGCAGGAUGAAGCGAAAGUAAAAUUUCGUGGAGGUCCGAACCCACGAGCGUUGAAAAGCUCGGGGAUGACUUGUGGGUAGCGGUGAAAUUCCAAUCGAGCCCGGAGAUAGCUGGUUCUCCCCGAAAUAGCUUUAGGGCUAGCCUCAAGGUGAGAGAUACGGAGGUAGAGCACUGAAUGUCCUAGGGGGUAUUGCACCUACCGAAGACUAUCAAACUCCGAAUGCCGUCAUCUUAUACUUGGGAGUCAGACUGUGGGUGAUAAGAUUCAUAGUCGAAAGGGCAACAGCCCAGAUCGUCAGCUAAGGUCCCUAAAUGUAAGUUAAGUGGUAAAGGAUGUGGGAUUGCACAGACAACCAGGAUGUUGGCUUAGAAGCAGCCACUCAUUCAAAGAGUGCGUAAUAGCUCACUGGUCGAGUGAUCCUGCGCCGAAGAUUUCCGGGGCUAAAACUU
rnacentral:rRNA from 1 species